rnacentral:rRNA from 1 species
UACGUAGGGUGCAAGCGUUGUCCGGAAUUAUUGGGCGUAAAGAGCUCGUAGGCGGUCUGUCGCGUCGGCUGUGAAAACCCGUGGCUCAACCCCGGGCCUGCAGUCGAUACGGGCAGACUAGAGUGCGGAGGGGAGACUGGAAUCCUGGUGUAGCGGUGAAAUGCGCAGAUAUCAGGAGGAACACCGGUGGCGAAGGCGGGUCUCUGGGCCGUAACUGGACGCUGAGGAGCGAAAGCGUGGGGGAGCGAACAGG